rnacentral:rRNA from 1 species
UACGGAGGGUGCGAGCGUUGUCCGGAAUCACUGGGCGUAAAGGGCGCGUAGGCGGCAGGCCAAGCGUGCGGUGAAAGUCCGGGGCUCAACCCCGGAUCUGCCGUGCGGACUGGUUUGCUAGAGCACUGUAGAGGCGAGUGGAAUUCCGGGUGUAGCGGUGGAAUGCGUAGAGAUCCGGAAGAACACCGGUGGCGAGGCGGCUCGCUGGGCAGUGGCUGACGCUGAGGCGCGACAGCGUGGGGAGCAAACGAGG